GUGACACUUGGGGGGGGUGACAGCCCCAUAAGUGACCUCUGGGGGAGGGUGACAGCCCCAUAUGUGAUCUCUGGGGGGGGUGGCAGCCCCAUAGGUGCCACCUGGGGGGGGUGAGGCGACAUCUGGGGCUGCCAAAGCCCACAGGUGCCACGUGGGGGGGGUGGGGGGGGGUGACGACCCCCAUAGGUGCCACCCGGGGGGCGGCAGUCCCCAUCACUGCCACCUGUGGGGCGGUGACUCCCGCCCCCCCCCAAUCCCCGGUGACACUUGGGGGGCUGACAGCCCCAUAGGUGCUACCUGGGGGUGAGGCGACAUCUGGGGGGGUGCCAAAGCCCACAGGUGCCACGUGGGGGGGGUGAGGUGACCUCUGGGGGGGGACAACCCCAUAGGUGACACUUGGGGGGGGUGACAGCCCCAUAGGUGACCUCUGGGGGAGGGUGACAGCCCCAUAAGUGAGCUCUGGGGGAGGGUGACAGCCCCAUAUGUGAUCUCUGGGGGGGGUGGCAGCCCCAUAGGUGCCACCUGGGGGGGGUGAGGUGACAUCUGGGGGGGGACAACCCCAUAGGUGACACUGGGGGGGGGUGACAGCCCCAUAG
ensembl:lncRNA